CAGUAGCCGCGGGAAUACGUAGGUGGCAAGCGUUGUCCGGAAUUAUUGGGCGUAAAGCGCGCGCAGGCGGCCUAUCCAGUCUGUCUUAAAAGUUCGGGGCUUAACCCCGUGAUGGGAUGGAAACUGCCAAUCUAGAGUAUCGGAGAGGAAAGUGGAAUUCCUAGUGUAGCGGUGAAAUGCGUAGAUAUUAGGAAGAACACCAGUGGCGAAGGCGACUUUCUGGACGAAAACUGACGCUGAGGCGCGAAAGCCAGGGGAGCGAACGGGAUUAGAUACCCCUGUAGUCCCUGUCUCUUAUACA
rnacentral:rRNA from 1 species